UGAUCAGAUGCAAUAAACGUGGAGACGAACCCUCGCGCUUGUGCGAAAACGUGACGGACAGCGACACCAACAGGCGGGUUUAGGAAGCACACCCUGCCCUCCUCCCACCGGCGGUUAAGUGUAGAUGCAUUUAAGGACGAGCUGCUGGAAAUAAUAGAGGGCCUUCAGAGCAGGAUCGAUGCCACAGCCUGCGCCAUCUUCUGCAACUGGAAGCUCUCGCCAGCGUCUCCAGAAUACACAAUCAGUCUUUGUGAGCUUGUGGUCCCAAGUCUGGAUAAAUGGGGUGGUUGUGUUGUGUCAGCGAGGGCAUCUGGCAGCAUGUGGUUUCAUGUCUGUGGUGACCGCCUGGAGAUAAAGCAGCAGCUGAAAGUGUGGAGCACAUGAAAAGAAGGUAAGUGGACUUCCUUUGGUUCAUAAAGCUGUUUCAGCUCUCAUGCAGAGGUUUCCUCAAGUCCAAAACAACUGAUGAAGAGUCCCAGGUAACCUCGUGGUCGUCCUCGGGUGCUCGACCCUCAUUGAUCAUGUAAGUGUUCAGUUUUCUGGAUCUACACUCUGAGCAUCUAUAAAACCUAUAAUUCAUCUACUCUGGUCUGAAUCAGUUGAUGCGUUUGUACUUUUUCCUGUGGUUUGAUUUAAACUCUAAGUGACCCAACAUGCGUCACUACACACCACACGAGGACAUUCGAGCCGGUCCUCGGUCAGAUGUUUCUGGGCAGGAUGAAGGUGGCGUGUUCUGAGAGCAGGGAGAAAUAUCUUCAUUUCACAUCCCACAAUGCAAAACAUACGAGACUAUGGGAAGAUUUCUAGCCACAUUUGCACCGUAUACAUGUACGAAACUUCAGAAUAUCAAACUUUAGAAUUUGACCAACAUCUGAUGGAUGUGUGUUGGAUGACUAUGAUUGGUUGUUUUGUUUUUUCUACUCUAUACCUUUUCUUCUUCUUCUUCUUCUUCUUCUUCUGUUUCUGUUUCUGUCUUUGACUGCACUUCCUUCCUCUGCAUGUGUCCAAAACCAUCUCAGGCUCUCGAGCUUUGGCUCCAGGUACCUGAGCUGUUUAAAAUGUUGUCUGUAAUGUUUCAUGAUGAUGAGCUUCAUGACUGAAGCUGGUGGAGCUUUAACCUGUGAGUGUGUGACAACGAGGACACAGCCAUCAGUGUGGAUCUGUAAAUGUGUGCUAAUGGUUUCCAUGUCCACAGCCUCUGCUCCGGUCCCAGUACCACAGAUUUUAUCAUGAGACAGUAAACGUGAGGCCACAGAGACGUUACUACACAUCCACCCUCGCAGUUCACUGUCAGGGUGAGGAGUCAGUCACACAGAGACACACAACCAUUCACACCUACAGGUGAUGCAGAGUGACCAGUUACCCACCAGUUUGGACUGUGGGAGGAAGGACGCUGUAUUUAAAUGAAAUCUGAAAAUCUGUGAUGACUCCAGUACCCCCAGUUUGCACCUGUGGGGACAAAUCAGUGCAUUAGAGGUGGCGUCUGCUUCAUGAACUGUGCUGAGCGCCCUCUGUUGGAGUAAAAUAGCACCGCAGCCUGUUUAAGGCGAGCGCGGCACACCUGCUCCUCAUCACUUGUUGCCGUCCUGCAGUAUUUAAGGAGCGGCUCCUCUGCCAGGUUGCUGUAGCAGUGGAAGCUCUCUCGUUCCUCACCUCAGCCUGUGAGGAAACCUGCUGCACACUCUGAGUUUGUCAGUAAAAUCCUUGAACUGAACCUUCGUGUCUGCUUUUCUGAAUCCAGCUGUUCGUGUUGUGUUCAUGACGGAGGGACGAAUGCAUGUAUUCUAACUAAUGAGGGGGCUGUGUCCCCAGCAUCCCGCUGAAAUCUCUGUCUGUACUUAUUGGCUUUCCUACCUGAGCACAGCCAGCCGGUGACUGCGUGACCUGGAUGUGGUCGAUGGGUACAUACUGAGCAGCUUCCUGAACAAUUCCCUCAGCGUGAAGGUGCUGGCUGAGGCGCUGAGUGAGGCUGAGGGGCCUUUAAUGUCCAGCCCUGCGACACUGCAGUGCUCGCAUUUUCUGCAGAAAGCUGUUCGUUCCUCUUUGCUGUCAGCUCGUUAGCGUUCAGCAUGAAAACAUGCGACAGCAUUAAAAUAAAAGGUUUAUUGUUUAAGAAGUUAUCAUACAACAGGCAGUCGAUGUUUUUAUUCAGUUAUGGAGCGACAUAAAAAAGCUGGAAGGCCACCAACACAUCAGGAUUCAUUCUCAGCAUCAACGUCCCUGCAAACACUCUCAGCUGUCUGUCUGUGUUUGUCAGACAUGAAGCAACCUCCACCAGAGAUUACCUUCAUAUUUUCCAUUAAAUCUGUGGAGAUUAGGCAUAAAUCUCACCUAUGUUUCAGAGGAUGUGUGCCCUGCAUCGUGUGUGGUUUUAUAACAACAGAACCGUCAUAGCAGUCACAAACUGCGCUGGCAGUGCCUGCUGCCGAGUGUGAUACAUGGAGGUUAGAAGCUCUGGCUCCGGGCCUGCUCGCUCUGACUUUGUGUCUCAGGCAGAAAGUCAAAACCUUUUCAGAGGGACCGGAGCCAAAACUGCUGCAAAACUUUGCUUUACAAAACAGCGAACAACAGCCGCUGCAGCUCCAGAUGGAGUCUUUCAAAGUCACCUCCACUCUGAAAAGAACAUGUCAUCGCCAGCUUGUGUAAUUGUGCAUUCA